rnacentral:lncRNA from 1 species
UUGGGAUAUGUUGGUGCAGAAUUUUGCUGAUGUCGGAGAAGCUGGUGUCGAGGGGAUCGCAUCCGCCGUCGAGACCUAUAAGGAAAGUCUAAACCGGAGUUGGGGGUGCUCCGGCAAGACCCUCCGAUGCUCAAGUCAAUACUCUACCUCAACAGAAAUGGAGCACUCGAAUGGGAUUUUAGCAGAGUUUCGAGAUAGAGUUUAGAGCUUAGAGAAGAACG